rnacentral:rRNA from 1 species
GACGAACGCUGGCGGCGUGCUUAACACAUGCAAGUCGAACGGAAAGGCCCUGCUUUUGUGGGGUGCUCGAGUGGCGAACGGGUGAGUAACACGUGAGUAACCUGCCCUUGACUUUGGGAUAACUUCAGGAAACUGGGGCUAAUACCGGAUAGGAGCUCCUGCUGCAUGGUGGGGGUUGGAAAGUUUCGGCGGUUGGGGAUGGACUCGCGGCUUAUCAGCUUGUUGGUGGGGUAGUGGCUUACCAAGGCUUUGAUGGGUAGCCGGCCUGAGAGGGUGACCGGCGACAUUGGGACUGAGAUACGGCCCAGACUCCUACGGGAGGCAGCAGUGGGGAAUAUUGCACAAUGGGCGGGAGCCUGAUGCAGCAACGCCGCGUGCGGGAUGACGGCCUUCCGGGUGUAAACCGCUUUCGCCUGUGACGAAGCGUGAGUGACGGUAAUGGGUGAAGAAGCACCGGCUAACUACGUG